AUGGCGUGUGGGUUAAGUUGGCUUCUCCUGGUGGCUGUGUUAGGAGGGGUCCAGUGUGAGGUGCAGCUGGUGGGGUCUGGGGGAGACUUCGUGCAGACUGGGGGUUCCCUGAGACUCUCCUGUGCAGUCUCCGGAUUCACCUUUAGUGACUACAGUAUGAACUGGAUCCGCCAGGCUCCAGGGAAGGGCCUGGAGUGGAUUUCUGACAUAAGUAGUAGUGGUGACACAGCAAGGUAUGCUGACUCUGUGAAGGGCCGAUUCACCAUCUCCAGAGACAACAGCAAGAACACGCUAUCUCUGCAAAUGAGCCGCCUGAGGGAGGAGGACACGGCCCUGUACUACUGUGCGAGAGACACAGUGAGGGAAAGGCCAUGUGGACCCAGACACAAACCACCUGCAGGAGGAAGCAGUUUGAGCUUCAGGGGCGCAGGCCCCCAGGAUGCUCUGAGGACUCUCCCCUGA